GAUGAACGCUAGCUACAGGCUUAACACAUGCAAGUCGCGGGGCAGCAUGGGGGUUGCUUGCAAUCCCCGAUGGCGACCGGCGCACGGGUGAGUAACGCGUAUCCAACCUGCCCUUCACCACGGGAUAACCCGGCGAAAGUCGGACUAAUACCGUAUGUUGUCCAUUGACGGCAUCCGAUUUGGACGAAAGGCUUGGCGGUGAGGGAUGGGGAUGCGUCCGAUUAGCCAGACGGCGGGGUAACGGCCCACCGUGGCUACGAUCGGUAGGGGUUCUGAGAGGAAGGUCCACCACACUGGAACUGAGACACGGUCCAGACUCCUACGGGAGGCAGCAGUGAGGAAUAUUGGUCAAUGGGCGUAAGCCUGAACCAGCCAAGUAGCGUGCAGGAUGACGGCCCUAUGGGUUGUAAACUGCUUUUAUGCGGGGAUAAAGUGGCCCACGUGUGGGCUUUUGCAGGUACCGCAUGAAUAAGGACCGGCUAAUUCCGUG
rnacentral:rRNA from 1 species